UCGUUAUAGGUCACACAGCAAGUUGGCCAUUACUGGCAAUAUAUUUCAAAUUGGACAAGAAUUCCUCAUUUCGAAACUCAAAUCAGAAGAGUCCGGAUUUAACAUGGGAGCAUUUUUUAGACUGCUGGUUGCCAUGGUGGUUGUUGCUAUGGUGAUGUACCUGGUGCCCUGUGGAGUGGAAGGCUUCAAGCUUACCAAGGUGGGAAUGUGCUACUGGGUGUGCCUCGAUGACUGUGACGCGUGGGGCACCUGCUCUCCUAACUGUGAGCUUGUUGGGCCUUCAAAUUACUGCUAAAUAUGUUAUCUUGCUGGACAAACAGCAAAGACAUGAAGGCCAUUUGGUGGACAGCAUAAACAGAAGAACCCACCAGUUGUUAGGGUGCAUUUAUUGACCUUAUCAUAAGCAUGUAAACCAUAGUUACCUGUAACAUAAUAUACGUGAUAAUCACUCAACCAUGAUAGAACACACACCACUAAAAGCAAAUGAAAGUAUAAACUUAAUGUUGUAUAAAAUUCUAUAUGAUUUGGAACAUAUUAUUAUGAAUGAAGACAUACUUAUUACUAUGACAGAUAUUGUAUAUAUAUGCAGACAUUUAUCAUUAUUCUGACACUGUGGUUUGAACAAGUAUUCAUUCAAAUGAUGUAUUUCCAAGAUAUUUCCAAAAUAGUUAAGACUUAAUUGAAAUAAACAGCUUUAAACUUG